ensembl:lncRNA
GACAUGAUAAUCAUUUUUUGACUUGAAUUUAUUAUUAUUUAUUUAUUUAUUUAGUACAGUGGUUUUCAAACUGGUCCUGCGAGCACCCCCAGCACUGCACGUUUUUUUUUUUUCUGUGUCUCCCUUAUCUAUCACACCUGAUUCAGCUCAUCAGNUAUUUUUUUUCAAAAAAUCGGAAUUGAGCAUUAAGCCCUGCAGUGUGAACGUAGCCUUUGAUUCAUAAAUGUGUUCUAACAAAGGUAAAGGGCAAAUUUUGACCAUAUAUUCUGUUUAUAUUGCAUGCAAUUGGGAUGAAGAAAACAUCUUUUGAUUAUUUUAACAUAUAAUUUUUGAUUCUGUUGAAUUAAAAACCCAAAACUGCAGCGGGUCCACCAGACCCAGGAACACUGGCCGAGUAACAAAAAUAUGAACACCACACAAGGAUUAAUACAAAUAUUGCACAGUAAAUGGUAUUAACUUGGCAUGUGUUUUAAACUAUGUUUUAAAAAAAAAAUAAUAAAAAUAAAGAGUUCCUUUUCUGUAAGAAAUAAGCUUCAAGAGCUUUACUGGACAGAUAUAACAAAAUGAACAAAAUAACAGAGAUGAGUGAUUAAUUAUGGAAUAUGGAGAAAAGACAGUCAUGGAUAAUUCAUGUGAUGGAGUGAGUGGUGGAACUCAUAUCCGGACUCGUUGUGAUUCUGAAGUUUAUUUUCUUUCAUGCACUGGGAUGUUUUAAUAACAGGCUCGAUGUGAGCCUCGUUGCCUGGCAACCGCCUGCUGUCAACAUGCAUACCGUGUUACCGUGGGAACAGGAUGACUGGUGGGAAGAGUGGGACACAAAGCUGCGUUCCAACAAACAGUGUUCAGCUGACAUCUGGGGUCAACAUCAUGAGAUCCAACAGAACAGCUCCCUGAAGUUUGAUAUGAUGGGAUCAGGCAGGGGUCUGCGGGAGCCUGAGCGUGCUGAUGGAUGAGGGUUUGAAGGCUAGCCAGAUGAUAGAUCUGGACUGGAACAUGUCUGCCGAGUUACUGCCAGAACUGACAGCUCAACACAAUGGUGAUGUCUAUAAAGAUCUGUAUGUCUGAAUUCAUGUAUGACAAGAAAAUGUAGCAGAGAGGUGGGAGAGAAAUAUGGACUGUAUAAGAGUUUUGGGGAGGCUAUAAUGUGAAAUCUAUGAAUUUCUGAAUUCUCUGGAAUAUUAAUGUGGAUCAUAGGGAAUAGCAAAGUUUAAUUUAAGCUAUAUAACUGUUUUUCCCAUUCUGAACACAGUUUUAGCUGAGAGGAAAUAAGAUCCCUCAAUGGUGAUCAUUUCAUUUUAGAGCUUCAAAAUGCAGAGCAGUUUAAUCAGUAAGAAUGUGUUAAAUAUUCAUAUACCCCAGAUGCACAUUCAUGUAGGGGCUUCUUGCUGGACUCUGGACACAUAUAAUGUGGAUACUUUGUAUCCUUUGGGAUGGUCUGAAUUGUCCAAGACUGGACAGAUUUGAACGGCAGCUGAUUCCCUGAUCAGAAUAAUUAAUUUCUCAAUAAGUAUGUUUCCAUAUUUUCUUCAAAAAGUCUGCUUUAGAGAAAAUGCCAAAAUAUCCCAUCAUUCUGAAUGGAACUAAUUCGAUUUUUCAGUACAUGUAGUUUGCUGUAGGUCUGUGUGGGCUCCUGUGAUCAGGAUGGCUUUUCAAAGCAAACCUCAAAAACAAGGAGCAUGAUGGGAAGUGACUGAGCAUUAAGAGGGAGUGCCGGGGGCAACACGUUAGCAAAGAGGGCCACAAAACUCUGUAUUCCUGUUGCCAAGGCAACCAGCCGAACAUUCUGCGUGUAAAAAAAAAAAAAGAAAAAAAAAAGGCAAGCUGGAUUGACUGCGAGGCAAGCA